rnacentral:rRNA from 1 species
UGGGGAAUAUUGCACAAUGGGGGGAACCCGUGAUGCAGCGACGCCGCGUGAGUGAAGAAGUAUUUCGGUAUGUAAAGCUCUGUCAGCAGGGAAGAAGAAAGACGGUACCUGACCAAGAAGCCCCGGCUAACUACGUGCC